rnacentral:tRNA from 1 species
GGCAUAGUGGUUUGAGUGGUUUGAGUAUUGGACUAUGACUGUGGAGACCAGGGUUCAAAUCCCUGCUCAGCCA